rnacentral:rRNA from 1 species
AUUGAACGCUGGCGGCAGGCCUAACACAUGCAAGUCGAGCGGAAGAAGGGUGCUUGCUCCUGGAUUCAGCGGCGGACGGGUGAGUAAUGCCUAGGAAUCUGCCUGGUUGUGGGGGCUAACGUCCGGAAACGGGCGCUAAUACCGCAUUCGUCCUGAGGGAGAAAGUGGGGGAUCUUCGGAUCUCACGCUAUCAGAUGAGCCUAGGUCGGAUUAGCUAGUUGGUGGGGUAAAGGCCUACCAAGGCGACGAUCCGUAACUGGUCUGAGAGGAUGAUCAGUCACACUGGAACUGAGACACGGUCCAGACUCCUACGGGAGGCAGCAGUGGGGAAUAUUGGACAAUGGGCGAAAGCCUGAUCCAGCCAUGCCGCGUGUGUGAAGAAGGUCUUCGGAUUGUAAAGCCCUUUUAGUUGGGAGGAAGGGCAGUAAGUUAAUACCUUGCUGUUUUGACGGUACCAACAGAAUAAGCACCGGCUAACUUCGUG